rnacentral:rRNA from 1 species
CGCGGCCUAUCAGCUUGUUGGUGGGGUAACGGCCUACCAAGGCGACGACGGGUAGCCGGCCUGAGAGGGCGACCGGCCACACUGGGACUGAGACACGGCCCAGACUCCUACGGGAGGCAGCAGUGGGGAAUAUUGCGCAAUGGGCGAAAGCCUGACGCAGCGACGCCGCGUGGGGGAUGAAGGCCUUCGGGUUGUAAACCCCUUUCAGCAGGGACGAAGCGAAAGUGACGGUACCUGCAGAAGAAGCGCCGGCUAACUACGUGCCAGCAGCCGCGGUAACACGUAGGGCGCAAGCGUUGUCCGGAAUUAUUGGGCGUAAAGAGCUCGUAGGCGGUCUGUUGCGUCCGCUGUGAAAACUCGGGGCUUAACCCCGGGUCUGCAUUCGAUACGGGCAGACUAGAGUGUGGUAGGGGAGAUCGGAAUUCCUGGUGUAGCGGUGAAAUGCGCAGAUAUCAGGAGGAACACCGGUGGCGAAGGCGGAUCUCUGGGCCAUUACUGACGCUGAGGAGCGAAAGCGUGGGGAGCGAACAGGAUUAGAUACCCUGGUAGUCCACGCCGUAAACGGUGGGAACUAGGUGUUGGCGACAUUCCACGUCGUCGGUGCCGCAGCUAACGCAUUAAGUUCCCCGCC